UCCAAAAUUUAUUGGAAAGAAUUAUUUGGGGGUCGAGUGUUUUAUUUGGUUUCCUCUUCUUUGGUUUUAUCGACCUAAGGUUCAUCUUCUCUGGUCUUCAAAGGGCGAUUCUGUGCCGAUCUCUUCGUAACCGUCUCUGCGAGCUCGUCUGUGUCCGGCGUCUCUGCAAGCUUUUCCUCUCGACGUUCUCAGCUGUCUUGCGAAGCUCCUCACCUUCUCUGCAAGAGAUCUCGUAGUCUCCUCCGUCGCCGCUGUCUCAUCUGUCUCGUCGGCGAUCUCUUUACCGUCUACUCGUCUCGUUUGUCUCCGGCGUCUCGUCUAUCUCCGGCGUCUCGUCUGUCUCGUCUCAUCUCCGGCGAAGAAAGGUGAAAUUAAACAUUGGAAAUUAAAUCGAGGAGAAGGAUCAUCAAACCUGCAUCAUCAAACGAUAAGAAUCUCAAGGUAGACGAAGAUAUGUUCUCUGAUUGUGACUAUGGCAUAAACAGCCCACUAGACUAUAGUGAUGAUUCAGAAUCAGAGGCUGAGACCUGUUACUAUGAACCUACACCAUCGGUUGGACGACCUAGUCUUACGGGCCGUGAGAUAUUGGUUCCACUACCUGCUCAUGUGACACAACCAGCCGAGGUUGGACGACCUAGUCUUACGAACCAGCGGACCGACCAAGUCAACCAGCGUAACGACGAAGUGAUCGUUGAGCUCAAGGACCAAGUCAUCCAGCUCAACGACCAAAUGAUCCAGCUCAAGCUUUUGGUGAUCCAGCUCAAGGACCAAGUCAUGCACCUCAAGGACCACGUCUAUCAGAGGCUCAAGUAAAGGAUGUUGUUUGCUGAGUUUGGGAUGUUGUUGUCUUAUUUGUUUGGUGUUUCGAACGUACUUUGAAUUUGAGUUUGUCCGCUUCAGUCACAUGCAUUUGUUUGCUUUGUUUGGACAGAGUCAUUUAUGUUUUUUGAGUUUGUCCGCUUGAGUCACAUGUAUUUGUACUGAUUUGUUUGCUUUGUCACAAGGAACAUUAUCACUCUUGAGUUUGUCCGCAAAGUCACAUGCAUUUGUUUGCUUUGUUUGGACAGAGUCACUUAUGUUUUUUGAGUUUGUCCGCUUGAGUCACAUGUAUUUGUACUGAUUUGUUUGCUUUGUCACAAGGAACAUUAUCACU